rnacentral:misc_RNA from 1 species
AAUCAUCAACCCGCCUCCGCUUUUGAAGUGAAGGUCGGGAUUGGAUUUGGAGGUUAUUGCCGGCUUUCCGUCGGCUCCUCUUGAAUGCAUUAGCUGGACUCCGUCGCGGUUCGCGGUGUGAUAAUCUUAUUCACCCUCAGACUACGAAGUUGAGAGACCGGCUUCUAAAAGCCCUUUUACUUUUGACC